ensembl:lncRNA
GGAACACUGUGACCAAGGAGAUGGUGCAGCUACGUCUCUGGAGGUCUCAUCAGCUUGGGAUGGUUUAGGUAGGGUUUGCAUUGUUGCUCCCAUAGGUCUCUCCAGAGCACUCAAGCGACUGAAAACAUCUGUUAUCACUGUCAAAAAUGGAUGUAUCCCCCAUGAACCAGAGGAGAAUCUGCUUGAAUUUUGCAUAAGGCUUGUAGUAAAGAGCAAUCCACAGGAUCCAAAGAACUCAGAUAAUUGUCUCUUUUCUCAAGAAAUCUACUCAUUAAUGCUGAGAUGCCAGUGUGCAUCACUGAGAAGCUACAUUGGGAUACACGUGGCCAGUGAGAUACAAGCUGAAGGCAACAGGGGGUCAAGUGGCCCAGGAGUCCCACCAGUGGAAUUGCUAUUAGUCAUGAUCAUUUACCUUCCCGAGAGGAAAAAAUAAAGUUAACGUGUGCAAGCCA